GCUAAACGCGAAGAACCUUACCUAAGCUUGACAUCCUUUUGACCGAUGCCUAAUCGCAUCUUCCCUUCGGGGACGAGGACACAGGUGCUGCAUGGCUGUCGUCAGCUCGUGUCGUGAGAUGUUGGGUUAAGUCCCGCAACGAGCGCAACCCUUGUCUUUAGUUGCCAGCGAGUCAUGUCGGGCACUCUAAGGAGACUGCCUCGGAUAACGAGGAGGAAGGUGGGGAUGACGUCAAGUCAGCAUGGCCUUUAUGUCCAGGGCUACACACGUGCUACAAUGGGCGGCACAGAAGGACGCGAGACCGCGAGGUCAAGCCAACCCUUAAAACCGUUCUCAGUUCGGAUUGCAGGCUGCAAUUCGCCUGCAUGAAGUCGGAAUCGCUAGUAAUCGCGAAUCAGAAUGUCACGGUGAAUACGUUCCCGGGUCUUGUACACACCG
rnacentral:rRNA from 1 species